rnacentral:rRNA from 1 species
UCGCCUCUUGAUUAACUAUAAGAGGUCCAGCCUGCCCAGUGACCCUGUUUAACGGCCGCGGUAUCCUAACCGUGCGAAGGUAGCGUAAUCACUUGUUCUUUAAAUGAGGACUAGUAUGAAUGGCACCACGAAGGUUAUACUGUCUCCUUUUUCUGAUCAGUGAAACUAAUCUCCCCGUGAAGAAGCGGGGAUACCCCUAUAAGACGAGAAGACCCUAUGGAGCUUUAAACUAAAUUACAAUUGCUUUACUUAAUAUAUAUUUUUAAUAAUCAAUACUUAUUUUAGCUUUAUGGUUUUUAGUUUUAGGUUGGGGUGACCGCGGAGCAAAAUAUAACCUCCACAUUGAAUGGGAUUUUUAUCCCUGAGCCGUGAGCCACGACUCUAUGCACCAACAUAUUGACAUCAAUUGACCCAAUAUUUUGAUCAACGAACCAAGUUACCCUAGGGAUAACAGCGCAAUCCUCUUCAAGAGCCCCUAUCGCCAAGAGGGUUUACGACCUCGAUGUUGGAUCAGGGUGUCCCAGUGGUGCAGCCGCUACUAAAGGUUCGUUUGUUCAACGAUUAAAACCCUACGUGAUCUGA